CAGGAACUAAAGUCUGUGUAAAUUAGCUAAAAGCUAAAAACAAAGUCAUCAUCCAGAGGAACAAAAGAUUUGGAUAAUUCACACAACAGUACAGUUCACUGAUGCAGAUGAAGGGAUUGUUUGUCUAAAUGCGCAAGUCAAAUAACGGCAGGCUCUUUCCAGUCAGUGGCUUUUCAACAGGAUGUCAUAGACAGAGUGGAUCUGCGUCACGUCAUUUCCGCCUCCCCUUAAAUAAUCAAACCCCGGGAACUACAGCUUCAAUAAACAGCCUGACCUUGAUCUCAUCUUAUUGAGAGCCGCACAACAAUCGCAAAUACAUCAAACUCUCAGCCUGAACAACAGCGAGGGACAUUAACUCCACGCUCAAACAAUGGACAUGGCCAAAUCUCAAUCUCUCUUUUGUUUCAAAGCCCCUCGUUUUAGCCAAGUGGCAGAUAUUUUUAAUGUGACCGCACCGUGCAAAAAUUCAAUGCUUUUGUCCUGGAUCAAGCUUUCAGGCUUUGAUGGGACGAGGCCAUCUGGUUACUAUGGUGAGGAGGAGAUUUUAUUCAAAGACAAAGGGACUUACCACCCAGCAGGCUGUCAUUCAGUUCCCAAUAUUUACGGGAAGGAAUUACUCACCCUUCAAUCCCAUUUUGGCCCACAGUUAUGCCCCAUGAAUGCAUAGAUUUUCUCAAAACCUGUUUAAGUGUCUGUGCGAGGUAUGAGCUCUAUCUUUUUGUGGUUUGUGUACGCAAGAGUAAGGGGUGAAGAUACGGUUUCAGAACGGAAGAGCUUUGCACAAGUUAUGGCUUGGUAACAGUCAUCAUGCAACAACUAAAUUUAAGUUUCAGGUGAGCCUUCCACAGUCACCUGGUCUGAAGAACCACUGAACUAUCUGAGCUCUUCCCCUCAACGCUAAAAGACAAGUAGUCAAGAACUGGAAAUGAGAUUUUCUACGCUUUUAAAACCCCUGCGUAAUAGGAAGCUUCAGGUCCUUCAAAUUCCUUUAAAAAAAGUUGGUGGUUUCACAGUAAUGGUAUCAGAUAGUAAUUUAACAGUAUUAAUGUGGCAUGUAUAUGAUACUUCUAAUU